AGAGUUUGAUCAUGGCUCAGAGUGAACGCUGGCGGCGUGCCUAAUACAUGCAAGUCGAACGAUGAAGCUUCUAGCUUGCUAGAGUGCUGAUUAGUGGCGCACGGGUGAGUAACGCAUAGGUCAUGUGCCUCUUAGUUUGGGAUAGCCAUUGGAAACGAUGAUUAAUACCAGAUACUCCCUACGGGGGAAAGAUUUAUCGCUAAGAGAUCAGCCUAUGUCCUAUCAGCUUGUUGGUAAGGUAAUGGCUUACCAAGGCUAUGACGGGUAUCCGGCCUGAGAGGGUGAACGGACACACUGGAACUGAGACACGGUCCAGACUCCUACGGGAGGCAGCAGUAGGGAAUAUUGCUCAAUGGGGGAAACCCUGAAGCAGCAACGCCGCGUGGAGGAUGAAGGUUUUAGGAUUGUAAACUCCUUUUGUUAGAGAAGAUAAUGACGGUAUCUAACGAAUAAGCACCGGCUAACUCCGUGCCAGCAGCCGCGGUAAUACGGAGGGUGCAAGCGUUACUCGGAAUCACUGGGCGUAAAGAGCGCGUAGGCGGGAUAGUCAGUCAGGUGUGAAAUCCUAUGGCUUAACCAUAGAACUGCAUUUGAAACUACUAUUCUAGAGUGUGGGAGAGGUAGGUGGAAUUCUUGGUGUAGGGGUAAAAUCCGUAGAGAUCAAGAGGAAUACUCAUUGCGAAGGCGACCUGCUGGAACAUUACUGACGCUGAUUGCGCGAAAGCGUGGGGAGCAAACAGGAUUAGAUACCCUGGUAGUCCACGCCCUAAACGAUGGAUGCUAGUUGUUGGAGGGCUUAGUCUCUCCAGUAAUGCAGCUAACGCAUUAAGCAUCCCGCCUGGGGAGUACGGUCGCAAGAUUAAAACUCAAAGGAAUAGACGGGGACCCGCACAAGCGGUGGAGCAUGUGGUUUAAUUCGAAGAUACACGAAGAACCUUACCUAGGCUUGACAUUGAGAGAAUCCGCUAGAAAUAGUGGAGUGUCUGGCUUGCUAGACCUUGAAAACAGGUGCUGCACGGCUGUCGUCAGCUCGUGUCGUGAGAUGUUGGGUUAAGUCCCGCAACGAGCGCAACCCCCUUUCUUAGUUGCUAACAGGUUAUGCUGAGAACUCUAAGGAUACUGCCUCCGUAAGGAGGAGGAAGGUGGGGACGACGUCAAGUCAUCAUGGCCCUUACGCCUAGGGCUACACACGUGCUACAAUGGGGUGCACAAAGAGAAGCAAUACUGCGAAGUGGAGCCAAUCUUCAAAACACCUCUCAGUUCGGAUUGUAGGCUGCAACUCGCCUGCAUGAAGCUGGAAUCGCUAGUAAUCGCAAAUCAGCCAUGUUGCGGUGAAUACGUUCCCGGGUCUUGUACUCACCGCCCGUCACACCAUGGGAGUUGUGUUUGCCUUAAGUCAGGAUGCUAA
rnacentral:rRNA from 1 species